GUCCCCGUAGCUCAGUUAGAUCAGAGCGCCACCGUGCGAAGGCGGAAGUUCGUCGUGCAAAUCCACGUGGGAGCGCCA
rnacentral:tRNA from 1 species